GUCUACGGCCAUACCACCCUGAACGUGCCCGAUCUUGUUGGAUCUCAGAAGCUAAGCAGGGUCGGUCCUGGUUAGUAUCGGAUGGGAGAAAAUUAAUGAAUGACAACAAUCCACAGAUC
rnacentral:rRNA from 1 species